rnacentral:rRNA from 1 species
UGCCCAAUGAGUAAUUUAAUGGCUGCAGUAUUAUGACUGUACAAAGGUAGCAUAAUCAAUAGUUUCUUAAUUAGAAGCUGGAAUGAAUGGAUUAACGAGAAAUUAACUGUCUCUGUUUAAAUAAUAGAAUUUUAUUUUUGAGUAAAAAAGCUUAAAUAUUAUUAAAAGACGAGAAGACCCUAUAGAGUUUUAUAUUUUUAUAAUUUUUAAUAAAAUUAUUAAAAUAUUUUGUUGGGGUGAUAAAAAAAUUUAAUUAACUUUUUUUAUAUUUUUACAAUAAUUUUUGAAAAUUUGAUCCAUUAUUAUGAUUAAAAGAUUAAAUUACCUUAGGGAUAACAGCGUAAUAUUUUUUUAGAGUUCAUAUUAAAAAAAAUGAUUGCGACCU